rnacentral:tRNA from 1 species
GCGGAUGUGGCGAAAUUGGUAGACGCGCUGGAUUUAGGUUCCAGUGACUUCGGUCGUGGGGGUUCGAGUCCCUCCAUCCGCACCA